rnacentral:rRNA from 1 species
AUUGAACGCUGGCGGCAGGCCUAACACAUGCAAGUCGAGCGGAUGAAGGGAGCUUGCUCCUGGCUUCAGCGGCGGACGGGUGAGUAAUGCCUAGGAAUCUGCCUGGUAGUGGGGGAUAACGUCCGGACACGGGCGCUAAUACCGCAUACGUCCUGAGGGAGAAAGUGGGGGAUCUUCGGACCUCACGCUAUCAGAUGAGCCUAGGUCGGAUUAGCUAGUUGGUGGGGUAAAGGCCUACCAAGGCGACGAUCCGUAACUGGUCUGAGAGGAUGAUCAGUCACACUGGAACUGAGACACGGUCCAGACUCCUACGGGAGGCAGCAGUGGGGAAUAUUGGACAAUGGGCGAAAGCCUGAUCCAGCCAUGCCGCGUGUGUGAAGAAGGUCUUCGGAUUGUAAAGCACUUUAAGUUGGGAGGAAGGGCAGUAAGUUAAUACCUUGCUGUUUUGACGUUACCAACAGAAUAAGCACCGGCUAACUUCGUG